rnacentral:rRNA from 1 species
GAUGAACGCUGGCGGCGUGCCUAAUACAUGCAAGUCGAACGCAUAGACAAGGGUGCUUGCACUUUUCAAGUGGGUGGCGAACGGGGGAGUAACACGUGGACAACCUGCCUCAAGGCUGGGGAUAACAUUUGGAAACAGAUGCUAAUACCGAAUAAAACUUAGUGUCGCAUGACACAAAGUUAAAAGGCGCUUCGGCGUCACCUAGAGAUGGAUCCGCGCUGCAUUAGUUAGUUGGUGGGGUAAAGGCCUACCAAGACAAUGAUGCAUAGCCGAGUUGAGAGACUGAUCGGCCACAUUGGGACUGAGACACGGCCCAGACUCCUACGGGAGGCUGCAGUAGGGAAUCUUCCACAAUGGGCGAAAGCCUGAUGGAGCAACGCCGCGUGUGUGAUGAAGGCUUUCGGGUCGUAAAGCACUGUUGUAUGGGAAGAACAGCUGGAGUAGGAAAUGAUGUUAGUUUGACGGUACCAUACCAGAAAGCAACGGCUAAAUACGUG